CGGGCUGUGGCUUAGUUUGGUCUAGAGCGCUCGGCUGGGGGCCGAGAGAUCGGGAGUUCGAAUCUCCCCAGCCCGA
rnacentral:tRNA from 1 species